UUUCACAAAUUGUUGUUUCAGGCUAAAUACACUGGAUGUUAAGUUAUGAUUAUGAUGCACUUCCGUUUGUUUGUUUGUGUGUGUGAGCAGCGCAGGGUGUGAUACGGACCAACAGCUGCCAGUCAGACAGCAGUGGUUUUUUAGAGGAGCCCUUCAUCCCCUCCGUCUCUCUGCAGGCGUCACCCGGACCUGGACUCAUCAAGGUCUCAUGGCUUAUAAUGCAUACUAACUCCCCUCUCGAGCCUCCAUUAGAAAUGCAAUACUAAAUCACUGCAUGCCUUUAAAUGACUCACACUGAUUAGAUGACAGAAUGUGCUAAAAUGUGAUGUAUGAUAUAUACAGUAUAACAUAUACAGUAUAUGUGAAACCGUUAAUGUGUCCGGUUGUUUGACUGUCUGUAUUGUCUGUUUGGUUGCAGGCUCUGUCAGGCCUGUCAGGAGGGGGCACUGACAGCCAGAGCAGUGAGAGGCCAGGCUCCCCCUCUCAUUCCUUCCCUCAUACCACUUCAUCUCUCCUGCUCUUCUCAUCUCCGACCUCUUCUGGUGUUGACAAAUCUCUAAUUUCCUCAUGCAGUUCUUCACCAGAGCCUUCAUUAGUCUUUCCCCCUUCCACAUCUCCCGUCUCGUUGUGUUUCCCAAAAUGUAAAAGGCAAAAUUCAGAGACAGAGACACCACCAGAUCAGAAUACGUCUUCACCUACUUCGCUACCUGCAUUGGUGUGCGACUACUUUGCUCCUUGCUAUCCCUCACCCGAGUUACAGGACGUAACACACUCCCGAACUCCAACUCUCGGUUCUCCUGCCGCCUUCACCUCUCUCUCCCCUACAUCUUCCCUGAUGCAACCUGCCUCAUUGAUUCGAGGGUCAGAGGACAUUGAAACUGAAGACAAGGAUGCUGCAUCCCCCCACCUCUCGCCUCUAUUUCAUGACUCAGCAUGGACAAGUGCCCCUCCUCCUGCCUCAUCUCCUUCUCCCUCUCCAAAUUUGGAUUGUCCCGUUCUCUGCCUCGAUUGCUAUGUCUUGUACACAGUCUGACUCCUCCUCUGGGAGUCCAGGGAACACACAGUCAGAACUGACUGAGGUGGCUUCGCAUGGGAACUCCCUCUCUGCUUCUAUUGUAUUAUCAUCUCUGCUUCCCUCUUCGUCCUCUUUACCUCCCCCUGUCUUUUCUGAUUCAAAUUGUCCUCCCUCUUUAGCCUCUCCCCGACUAACUGAGUCCCUCUCACAGAGUCCAGAAGAAAAUCUAAAAGAGUCCAUUGUCCCAGACUUAAAUGGAACAGGCCUUUCUGAUCCAUUUACCAAUACACAAAAGAAAGAGGAAAAAACACCCUCCUCACUCUCCUCGCUCUCCUCAGACAUGUCGGACAACAUCCAUCCCUCAGCGUCAUCCUCUCUCGUCCUGGAGUUUGAGGAACUUUGUCCCACGCUGCCCUGCCUUUUGCCUAACCCUUCCUUUCCAGUUUGUCAUUCUGCCUUGUCAUCACAAUCACAUGAUUCAGAUGGUCUGAUAGUUCCAGCUGUUGAAAGAAUUUCAGACCUGACAGAGCAGUCCAUCUCCCAACAGGACAGACCAAGUUAUCAUGAUGAUAAUACAAACCCUGCUCCAGCGUUUCCUGUCCAAGAUGUUUUUCAUGCUCAGAAGAAUCACCUCUCCUUGGACUUGGAGGACACCCAUCAGAGGAAUGGAACGGGAGGGUUAGAGGGUGAGAGACAUACUGACACUGUGCAGACUCGAGAGACUGUUGUUUACAUCUCAGAUACGGAGAGUUCUGCAGACCUGUCAGAAGGUUCUAGAUUAGUCUCUAAGGAAGUAUGUAACCAAACAGAAAUAGAUCCAAAGGUCUUGUCCUGUAGUUUGCAUGACAAGCUCUCAACUGGAACCCAACCGGAAGAGUGUCAAAGGGAAGUUAAUGGCUCAGAAAGUGAAUCACUCAGAAGUUCUUUAGUUUUACUUGAUGUUGUGCCAGAAACACACAGUAUAACUGAAGUGGAACCAAAGGAUCUAAUCAGGAUUGAGAGCUUAGAUCUGGUAUUUCAAACCUCAGUGGAUGGCUCGGAAGAGGAAAAUGGAGAUAUGGAGGCUUUUUUUCAGCAGCUUGAUACUGAAGGGCGAGCCUACUGGGCAGAACCCAUCCUGGUAUCCAAUGCAUCCCCUGUGCUUGAGGAGUCAGACAGCUUUGUUCUAGAUGAAUCUUCAUCCACCGACAGAGCUAUGACUUUAUCUGCAUCAUCCUCAACAACAAUAGACACUAACCAGACUUCAAGAGAUGCAACUGCCUCCUCAGACACACCCUCCUCCUUGAGUCUUCCAUUAGCAUCCCCUGUGGGAGCCCCAGACCCCAAGCCAUCAAGCUGCUCUGUUUCUGUCCAGAUGUCUUCAUCUCCCUCUUCUCAUAUUGUCCACAGGACGGAUGUUCCCUACAUGACUGACUCAAAAUGCACCCUUCUGCCUAGUGUCCUCCCUUUGGACACCUCCACCCCUUUCCGCGCUGUCCAGUCAUGGACAGACCUGCAGAUCCAACGAAACACUCACACCCAGAAGUUAUCACAUGGGGCUCUUCAUGCUGCCCCAAAGGAAGCCGUAUCCACGUGUGCCACAGACACGACACCUGCGCUGGACUCCUCUUCGUCUCCAUAUUUCCCUCUGAUGUCUAAUGACUCGCAGUCACAAGAGUCUCUUCCUGGAAAGGCUAGAAAUGACCAUCCUAUUUCCGUCUCUGUGGAUAAAGGGCUGUGGGCUGAUGAGGACGAAGAGGUGGACAAGAAUGGAAUUGAAGAUGAGGAGAGGUUUUGGGAGGGCAAUCAGACUGCCACCGUGGCAUGCUGCCGCUCCUGUGACCAUCAGUGUACCUGUACUCGGAAGAGCUACGACGAGCAACACGCUCUAGGAAACAAUUCUUACUCUCUGGAUGAGUUGGAGGAGAUGAUGCUGUGUCUGCAGCGGUUUCGUUCUGUACUCGGUAACAUGGAGGAGCAGCUCUCUGAAGAUCAGGCUGCAGUUUACAAUGCUCUGUCUGACCAGGACAGGGAGAAGGUUCAGGACAUAGAGGAGCUGAGGCGAGCAGUGAAACAGGAGGCUGGGGAGCUGGAGAUGCAGUUGAAUGAACUGGCCCAUCACUAUGAUGACAGCUUGAAAAUGAAGAUGCACAGACUGUUGGAUGAGCAGUCUCUGCUCUGCUCUCAGCUCAGCGUCCCCGCAUCCCCAAGCCCCGCCCCCAACAGGACGGUGGCCACGCAGUGCUGUCUGCUGCCCUGGAUCCCUCCAGCUGACCUGCAGAGCGCUCACGUCUCCUCCUGGAGAACCUGGGAUGCGUACUCCCUCAGACAGUCACCUCCUGGAUCAAAGUGCAUGUGUGAGGGCCUGCGCUGUUCUCACACUAAGGCAGAUAAGCUGGACAUGAUGGGCAUCCUCCAGAGAUUGAAGGAGUCUUUGCGUCAUUCUGUCAACACAGACUCGUUGGAAUAAAAGCUGCGCCGGAAGUCUUCUGAAGAAGAGGCCUUAUCUUUCCAGAUGUUUCACAUCUGACUCUAGAACCACUAUAAGCUGCAUGAGAUGCAAACUACUGUCUUUGUUGUAAAAGAAAAAUGUAUAAUAAAACAAAAGCAAUAACUACAUAGGGAUGCUUAUUACCAAAUGAUAUUAAUAUAAAUGUAAGAGUUAUUUAAUGAAGAUGUUAUGAAUGCAUGAAUGAAUACCGCCACUACAAUAAACGUUAGAAGAGUGAAGCAUG
ensembl:lncRNA uncharacterized LOC115025816